rnacentral:rRNA from 1 species
GAUGAACGCUGGCGGCGUGCCUAAUACAUGCAAGUCGAGCGAACAGACGAGGAGCUUGCUCCUCUGACGUUAGCGGCGGACGGGUGAGUAACACGUGGAUAACCUACCUCUAAGACUGGGAUAACUUCGGGAAACCGGAGCUAAUACCGGAUAAUAUAUUGAACCGCAUGGUUCAAUAGUGAAAGACGGUUUUGCUGUCACUUAUAGCUGGAUCCGCGCCGCAUUAGCUAGUUGGUAAGGUAACGGCUUACCAAGGCAACGAUGCGUAGCCGACCUGAGAGGGUGAUCGGCCACACUGGAACUGAGACACGGUCCAGACUCCUACGGGAGGCAGCAGUAGGGAAUCUUCCGCAAUGGGCGAAAGCCUGACGGAGCAACGCCGCGUGAGUGAUGAAGGUCUUCGGAUCGUAAAACUCUGUUAUUAGGGAAGAACAAAUGUGUAAGUAACUAUGCACGUCUUGACGGUACCUAAUCAGAAAGCCACGGCUAACUACGUG